rnacentral:lncRNA from 1 species
GCAGUGUACUGAUUCCGGCAGAAGGUCAGCAUCUAUACGAAAAAACAACCCAUGAACAUCAACAGCAUAAAUAGAAUUCACCCUUAUAAAAUAGUGUCACUACGAUGACCUGAAACUUGAUGAAACUGUACGUUCGUCCAUGUCUUGCCUCCUGGCCUGCAAAGGCCAAAUUUUGUGGCAAGAACUACGCAGAUGGGAUCCAAAAGCGCUGGUUGAUGUUAUCGCUCUCAUGUUGGCGGUGGAGGUAACUCAACUCGGGCUCUAGUGAAGGGAUUUUUGAAAAUCAAAUGGAAUUGUUAGCAACCAGCCGCUAGAUGAACUAGAAAUUAAUCCAUCUUCCUUUUAAUUCAG